AGUGAACGCUGGCGGCAGGCCUAAUACAUGCAAGUCGAACGGCAGCACAGCAGAGCUUGCUCUGUGGGUGGCGAGUGGCGGACGGGUGAGGAAUACAUGGGAAUCUGCCCAGUCGUGGGGGAUAACGUAGGGAAACUUACGCUAAUACCGCAUGCGCCCUUCGGGGGAAAGCCGGGGACCUUCGGGCCUGGCGCGAUUGGAUGAGCCCAUGUCGGAUUAGCUAGUUGGCGGGGUAAAGGCCCACCAAGGCGACGAUCCGUAGCGGGUCUGAGAGGAUGAUCCGCCACACUGGGACUGAGACACGGCCCAGACUCCUACGGGAGGCAGCAGUGGGGAAUUUUGGACAAUGGGCGCAAGCCUGAUCCAGCCAUGCCGCGUGAGUGAAGAAGGCCUUCGGUUGUAAAGCUCUGUCUGGAGGGACGAAGGAAGUGACGGUACCUCCGGAGGAAGCCGACGGCUAACUACGUGCCAGCAGCCGCGGUAAUAUCACGUA
rnacentral:rRNA from 1 species